UACGGAGGGUGCAAGCGUUACCCGGAAUCAUUGGGCGUAAAGCGUCCGCAGGUGGUUUGUUAAGUUAAAUGUUAAAUCUCGGAGCUCAACUCCGAGCUUGUGUUUAAAACUGGCAAACUAGAGAAUUUUAGAGGUGCGUGGAAUUCUGUGUGUAGGGGUAAAAUCCGUAGAUACACAGAGGAACACCAAAAGCGAAAGCAGCGCACUGGAAAAUUUCUGACACUCAUGGACGAAAGCGUGGGGAUCAAACAGG
rnacentral:rRNA from 1 species